rnacentral:tRNA from 1 species
AUUUCACUAGUAAAAGUUAUUAUAUUAUCUUGAUAAGGUAAAGUUCAAUAGGUGAAAUA